GUGGGUGUUGCUCAGUGGUAGAGUGUGUGCUUAGCAUGCACGGGGUCCUGGGUUCAAUCCCCAGUACCUCCA
rnacentral:tRNA from 1 species